rnacentral:lncRNA from 1 species
GGGGCGCGCGACCGAGUGGAAGACGGAACGUCAACCGUCGUCGUCGUCGUCGCCGCCGCCGCCGCCGCCGCCGCCGCCGUUCGAGCUCGAGCGGCUCUCCUCCGGCGAUUACGAAGCCGACCUCGCGCGCGCGCUCGCGGCGUCCGAGACCCCGCGCGGGGACGUCGGCGUCGACCUCGAGAGCGUGCCCCCCGGCGAGGCGAGAGUGCUCCGCGAGACGUUGGAGCGGUCGAGGCGGGAGGAGGAGGAGCGUAGGCGCGCGAG